GGAGCUAAGAAUAUAAACUUGUCAGGAUAUUUAUAUCGGCAGACAUUUUGUGCUAAGAUAGAAAUUAAAAGUGUAUAUUGCCAUGGUCACUCAGAACAAAGCGGACUCCAUUUUGCUAUCUUCAGGCAAGACAGUCACAACAUUUCUUUCCUUUCUUAUGUAAACAAGCCAAGUGAUAAGCAAUGAAGCAGGGGGAUGGAAUGCUCUGUUUAAAUGUUAAUGGGAUAGAAAUAAUUUUAAACACAGACACUAGUGACAGAGAAGACUCAGUAAUUUAUUUUACUUUCUAAAUUUUACAAGGUCCCAUUGUAAGUAAGGGGUGAAAUUGAGUUUAGAACUGUCAAUUUUAGAAAUUACAACAGGAAUUGUCGACGCGCCGUCUGGAGAAAAUCCAAAGAAACGCUUUGAACUGACAGCAAAUUUAAGUUAUGGUGAUCAUUUUAGGUAAGCCAAAUGACAUCAGAAUCGUCAUCAAAAUAAGUUAACUCUUUCGAGGACAGAAAAUUUUGAUGAGGCAAUUGCGCCCUCGAUUGACCAAAAACUAGAUAAUACUAGAUAACGUAGACACACCUACAGUUUCCUAUUGGCCUUAUCAACUAAUGACGUACAGAGAGUCUGGCCCUUUAAAAGUUAGGACUAAGGGAAGGGAGAGGGUAGUUUGGGCUUUCAGAUUAAAAUUCAGAGAGAUCCAGGACAGAUAUUCAGGACACUCUGGGACUAACACUCAACUCUCAAACUCUCUUGGACACAACUCAAGAAACACUCCUUAACACUUAGAAUGUAACUAUUAUUUUCUAACCAACAUCACUUUUCUCUAUUACUUACACACCUCCAUACAACUAAUCAUACUCGCAUUCAAGUUCCUGGAACUACCUACUCAUCUGGUAAUUAUGCUGGUUUUAUUUAAUUAACCUAAAUUAAUUAAAAUCUAUUAAUAGCAGGAUACAUGCAUGGAUAAAUCCUGAUCAGAUCCCAUAAUUGAGGAAUCUUAAUUAAAUAAAGAAUAUGUAGUUAUAACACUCCAUUCUGCAGGUGGAGUCAGAUAAUUACAUAGUACUGGUAUCUUACCACGUGUUAGCAUACCGCUGUUUUUAUCCAUGUGUGUUGAUUUGCUCUGAAAUAAGAUAAGAUAUCUUUUUAGGCAAAUUAAAAUUCGGCUUAUAGAAUCUGUAGAUUUGACUCUUUUGGAUGGUUCCAGGAAAUGAUUAAUGAGCUGGUUUGAAUGUUAUUUUAAUUGAAAAUUACAUGAGAAUAGGAUAUUAUAUGCCUAGGCGGAUCUAACCAGCAUUGAAAGGGUUACUCAGUUGAUUUGACUGUUAGCCAAGGUUUUAUGGCUUUUCGCUGUGUGAAGUUUAGCUUUCUGUGUCUGUGAAGUACCCUCAUAAAUCUUGUAAGUCUUGUAAGUCAGUUGAUGCUGUAGCUUUGUACUGUGUUUAGCCAUUGCCAUUGUAUACGACGUUAUACUAAAUAUUCACUGAUUAUUAUCAUGCAUGCU